UGGGGAAUAUUAGGCAAUGGGGGAAACCCUGACCUAGCGACGCCGCGUGAAGGAUGAAGGUUUUCGGAUUGUAAACUUCUUUGGCAGAGGACGAUAAUGACGGUACUCUGAGAACAAGCCACGGCUAACUACGUGCCAGCAGCCGCGGUAAUACGUAGGUGGCGAGCGUUGUCCGGAUUUACUGGGUGUAAAGGGCGAGUAGGCGGGCUAACAAGUCAGAUGUGAAAUACCGAGGCUCAACUUCGGGGCUGCAUUUGAAACUGUUAGUCUUGAGUGAUGGAGAGGCAGGCGGAAUUCCCAGUGUAGCGGUAAAAUGCAUAGAGAUUGGGAGGAACACCAGUGGCGAAGGCGGCCUGCUGGACAUUAACUGACGCUGAGGAGCGAAAGUGUGGGGAGCAAACAGGA
rnacentral:rRNA from 1 species